AAGAAGAAGAAGACGAAAAAUUCCUUACUCUGUGUUACAGGGGAGCGUUUUUAUUGGCUGAUUUGUGAGGUGUGGUCGUGCGGAAAAUGGCGGCUUUAGAAGUUUACUUGAAGUGGGUCGUUUCUUUCAAGUAGAACAAUCCAGGGAUUACAAAGUGUUUAUAAUUGUAGUAAUAAUGUCCAAAAGUUUCCAAUAAGAUUUUAGCAGGAUGUUUGGGAGAACUUUGUGACGAUUUCUGUGAUGUCAUAGGUGGGAGAUAGCACUCUGCCUGGACACAGGACACUCUUCUUCUCCAGUAAGAAGCUCUUUGACUUCACACGAACAGUGAGCAACACGUUUCUGUUCCCUAUUAUUGCACAGGAACUAGUAGGAGUCUGUGUAUUAAGGUUAGUGUCUUUUGAGGAGAAGACUGUCCUUACUUAACUCACAGGUCAAUGAAAAUAAGAAACUGUGACAAAUUAUAUUAUAUAUCCUGUUCAGAUUUAUUGUUUGUAAAGCUGUUUGUGAUUGUUGCUGUUUUUUGGUGGUCCUGGACUGGUGUAUGUGAAGGGAAGCUGUUUCCAGUCAUGAAGAACGAUGCAGUAUCAUCCUCUUGACCUGUGGACUGCCUGUGAGGAGCCCCUGUAUGAGAGGCCUGGGAAGCCAUCACUGGUGAGACAUGUUACGCUGUCAUACUGCGGAAGUAGCACCAGAGAGAUCACAAGACUGUUGACUUCACGACAGUUCAGGCUCCUUAUAGGGUCUUAGGUUAUAACACUCUUGAAAUGAUAAAGCUUAGCGACAUUUGAGAGGAGCUUCCUCUAGUGUCAGAGAUAGAAUGUCGGUAAUCUUUACCAUUUUGAUAUGGCACUGUACCCAGACCUGUGACAUCCAUAAGGAGCCCUUCAUGUCUGACAGAGCAACCAGCAAGUUUUCCCAUUUCUGGUUAUCACUCAGGAACUAUGCAUAAUCUAACGCCCUGGAAUAUCCAGUGAAGUUGUUUCCAGCCCUGAAGAAUGUCGAGUUUCUGAGUGAGCAAGGAGUAUGCAGCUUCAUCUCUGUCUCCGCCUGUGCGCUGUCUGCAAGGAGACACAUACU